GGAAAUGUGCCUGAGAACCAAGGGCCACUAUGAUAAAGUGAACACAGAGGUAUACCAACCCUCUCAUUUCCU
rnacentral:tRNA from 1 species